rnacentral:rRNA from 1 species
UGAGGAAUCUUCCACAAUGGGCGAAAGCCUGAUGGAGCAACGCCGCGUGCAGGAUGAAGGCCUUCGGGUUGUAAACUGCUUUUAUAAGUGAGGAAUAUGACGGUAACUUAUGAAUAAGGAUCGGCUAACUACGUGCCAGCAGCCGCGGUCAUACGUAGGAUCCGAGCGUUAUCCGGAGUGACUGGGCGUAAAGAGUUGCGUAGGUGGUUUGUUAAGUAGAUAGUGAAAUCUGGCGGCUCAACCGUACAGGCUAUUAUCUAAACUGACAAACUCGAGAGUGGUAGAGGUUACUGGAAUUUCUAGUGUAGGAGUGAAAUCCGUAGAUAUUAGAAGGAACACCAAUGGCGUAGGCAGGUAACUGGACCAUUUCUGACACUAAGGCACGAAAGCGUGGGGAGCG